rnacentral:tRNA from 1 species
GAAAUAAAUAUUAAUUUGAACUUCUAAUUCAAAAAUUAUGAAAACUUCAUAUUAUUUCU